GUCGUUCAGUAAUGGUGACUGCUAUGAGGGUGAGUUCCACAUGGGGCGUUGCAGCGGGAGUGGCGUGUACAGCUUUGCGAUGAAGGGGAGGUACGAGGGGGACUGGGUGGACGGGAAGUAUGAUGGGUAUGGAGUCGAGACGUGGGCGAGGGGGAGCCGGUAUCGGGGGCAGUAUAGCCGGGGCCUGCGGCACGGGCUCGGGGUGUAUCGGUUUUAUAACGGGGAUAGUUACGCCGGUGAGUGGCUGAACGGGCAGAGCAAUGGUGUCGGGGUUCAGACGUGCUCAGAUGGGAGCUGCUAUGUUGGGGAGUUCAAGCUGGGGGUGAGGCAUGGAUUGGGCUCAUACUGCUUCAGGAAUGGCGAUAGAUACUCUGGCGAGUACUUUGCAGACAAAAUCCAUGGUUUCG
rnacentral:misc_RNA from 1 species